rnacentral:other from 1 species
AUUUAUCCGUUGUGUUUGUGAUUGGUAUACCCUGAGCCGAUAAAUAAAUACAUCAGGAAAUGCGAUAGCUUACUAUUGAGCAAGCCCAUCUUGAAAUGGGAAGCCUGCGGUAAUCUUCAAACUUCCGCCUUGAGCCUUAUGGUUCAGGUUUUCUUCAACACGGCACAAUGGACUUUUU